rnacentral:rRNA from 1 species
GCUCCUACGGGGCGCAGCAGUGGGGGAUAUUGCACAAUGGGGGGAACCCUGAUGCAGCGACGCCGCGUGGGUGAAGGAGCGUUUCGGCGCGUAAAGCCCUAUCGGCAGGGAAGAAGGAGGACGGUACCUGACUAAGAAGCCCCGGCUAACUACGUGCCAGCAGCCGCGGUAAUACGUAGGGGGCAAGCGUUAUCCGGAUUUACUGGGUGUAAAGGGGGCGCAGACGGCAGCGCAAGCCAGGAGUGAAAGCCCGGGGCCCAACCCCGGGACUGCUCUUGGACAUGCGCGGCUGGAGCGGAGGGGGG